rnacentral:lncRNA from 1 species
AGGGAGCAAAGGUUCUUGCUGAGAUGGAGGAAGGAAAUAAUGGUUCUAUCUUUUAUUGACGAUUAUAUAUGGCCCUCAGAGCUGAGAAAAUACAUAAGCAGGUUGGGUACAAGAUAGAUGAUGAAGGAAAGGAGACAACAGAAUCCCCACAGGAUCCACACUGGGCAUCCAUGCCCCUUAGUUGGGUGACCAUGGAUGGAGUGCAUGACAUGCAUGGGUCUGUCUGGCCCAGAAGAAUCAAAUCAAGGUGUGCAGUCUUUGCAGCACACCCUCCGAUAGUAUCCAAGAGGGACCCAGAUGCUGCAAUGAUGGAGCUUUCACAUCACCCACCAGGAUAGCCGAGAAUGACUGUGAAUACCAGGACUCUCUCUGGAGCCCAAUCUCCCCGUGCCAAACCGCUGAUACUGCUGCCAGCACCCCAGAAGUUUGUGGAGGACAGAGGAGCCAUGAAGUUCCACCAGUGGGGCUUUUUAUAGGAACCACUCCACUCCUGGCUUAGAUACCAAAGAAACCUCUGGUCAAAGUCUUUUCAAAGAACUGCCAACGGAAAUCGGGGUCUCCCGUGAGCAUGUGUCCCACAGUACUGUUGUCAAGUCUCUUUGACAUCCACUAGACUCCAAGUGCCUGGUCUCUCUUCAUCCCACCACUGAGGAGAUACACAGAAGCCAAUUCCAACAUGGAGACUGCAACAUGAAUGUGCAGGCAGCAGUGAGCACACAGGACUCUCCUUACAGGAGAUAAGCUGGCACUGUUCACGCAGACCCACCUAGGUGCAGAGCCAGGCCAUGAGGGCUGCUCACAGUGUGCUCCAGGUCACCUGAAACUAUCAGGCACUUUCUCUGAUAAGCACUAUAGGACUGUGCUGUGCUAUCUGUCUGUGUGUUGUUCAUGACUUAAAGGAUAAAACUACAUUUCUAGGCUAAAUUACGUGUAGUCUACUACAGCCUGACCCCAGAAUCUACCAAAGACCACCAUUCCAGGGACAAUCACAAAGAUGUCAUCCAAGCUGACCUACGCCACUAAUUUAUAUUUCCUAUGGCCUGAUUUUGUACUUGGUAUUUAUAUUAGGGAUUAUAAUGCUCGUGUUUCCUUUAA